rnacentral:tRNA from 1 species
UCGAUAAAACGUAAAAUUAAACUGAUUUGUAAUCAGUGGGUUGCAGGUUCAACUCCUGUCACCAGCUCCA